rnacentral:rRNA from 1 species
UACGGAGGGUGCAAGCGUUAUCCGGAUUUACUGGGUUUAAAGGGUGCGUAGGUGGUCGGGUAAGUCUGCUGUGAAAUCUCCGAGCUCAACUCCGAAACUGCAUUCGAUACUGCGGUGCUUGAGGACUGGAGAGGAGACUGGAAUUCAUGGUGUAGCAGUGAAAUGCGUAGAGAUCAUGAGGAAGACCAGUGGCGAAGGCGGGUCUCUGGACAGUUCCUGACACUGAGGCACGAAGGCCAGGGGAGCAAACGGG